rnacentral:ncRNA from 1 species
CAAACAGAUUAACCAUUUGCAACUGUUACCGAUCCUCUUGACUGCACCGACGGUUUCCACGGACAACCGGCUCUGGUAGCUGCGUGGAGGAAACCUGCUAAAUAAAAUUAAUAAUUUAUUCGCAGUAAUUAAUAUUAAAUAAAAAAGAAAUUUUGUUUUAGUAAUUAUUUAAAAAGUAUUGGUAAAAUUUGUGCCAGCUACCGCGGUUAUACAAAUAAUACAAAUAAAAAUUUAUUGAUAAUAAUUAAAUUAUAUAUAAUUAAUAAAAAUAUAAAUUUAUAAAGUGAAAUUUUUUAAUUUAUUAAAUAUUAAUAAAUUUAUUAAUUGAAGUUAUAAAAAUUUUAUAAUAAACUAGGAUUAGAUACCCUAUUAUUAAAAUUAAAUAAUAAUAAUAUCGAAGUAGUAUUAGUUAUGUUCUUAAAAUUUAAAAAAUUUGGCGGUAUUUUAGUCUAUUCAGAGGAAUCUGUUCUGUAAUUGAUAAUCCACAUUGAACCUUACUUAAAUUUGUUUAAUUUGUAUAUCGCCGUCAUCAGAAUAUAUUAUAAGAUAUAAUUUUCUAAAUAUUUUAAAAAAUAAAAUGUCAGGUCAAGGUGCAGUUUAUAUUUAAGUAGAAAUGGAUUACAAUAAAUUUAUUUUUGAAUAAUUUAUUGAAAUAUAAAUUUGAAAUUGGAUUUGAUAGUAAAAAAAAAUAGAUUAUUUUUUUGAUUUUAGCUCUAAAAUAUGUACAUAUCGCCCAUCGUUCUUAUUUUUAAAAUAAGAUAAGUUGUAACAUAGUAGAUGUACUGGAAAGUGUAUCUAGAAUGAC